AUGUUCGCCGCCCAAUCCCGCUCCCGCGCCAACAAUUGCCGCAUCGCCCUCUCAAACGCCCAAAAAGGCUCACAGAGUGCAACUACUUACUUCGGUCAGAUGCGAGCCCUCUUUGAUGAGCUCGCUGCAGCUGGCAAACCCAUCAAGGACGAGGAGCUUCUCUCCUUCAUCACCGGGGGCCUUGAUAUGGACUAUCAGCCCCUCAUCUCGGCGCUGGAUGUCCGCGUGGAUCCCCUGACCGUGGAUGAUCUCUUCAGCAUGGUCUCGGAUUUCGACCAACGAGUCGAGAUGUUCCAAGGAACAGGGGCAGGUGCCUUCAAAUCCUCUGCCAAUAUCGCUGCCAGAGGCCGUGGCGGGUCUCCCAAGGGAUACCGCAAGGUUGGUGGUCGUGGCGGCGGCUAUGGUGGUAACAACACCGGCGGCGGCAGCAACUACAACAACAGCACCACCGGCGGCGGCGGCGGCCACUAUCACCACAACAACAACUACUCUAGCAAUAACCGGCGCCCCUCCUACAACAAUAAUAGGGCCCGUCCGUUUCAAGGUUAUGAUGAGUAUGAAAAUAAAUUUCAAAUUUGCAAAAAAAAAACCACAUUGCAAAGGAUUGUGAUUGGCGCUAUGCCAAGAACAAUUCCCAAUGCAAGAAAGUUGCAGCAGCUGCAGAUACAUCUUAUGGAGUUGAUACAAAUUGGUAGUUGA
rnacentral:rRNA from 1 species